rnacentral:lncRNA from 1 species
GCUUUACCUCUGGUCUCCUGGUCCCGGCGUCUGGAACUGCAAGGAGAGCUGAUGGAGUUGGGAAGCCGGAAGGGCAGGUCCCUCUUCAAUUCUCGCCCCAGACUUACUCCCCUUUGCCUCCUGCUCUUCAGUGACCUACUGCUCAUCACUCAGCCUAAGAGGUGGGCAGGCCUUCUGGGUGAUGGUGGGGGAAGCAUGUGUGAAGGGUGGAGAGGAGGGCAUACCAGGCAACCUUCCUGAUGAUCUCUCUUCCGGGCAGUGGGCAAAGGUUGUAUGUUCUGGAUUAUGCCCACCGGUCCUUGGUUCAGGCCCAGCCAGNNNNNNNNNNGCCUCAUUCUAUAUCUCUCUCAUAUGCCCUCCAGAUUGCCCCCAGGCCCUGAGCAUAAAUUCUCAUGUAACUGCCAAGACAAAGGAUCUAAGCCUGGAACCUGGGGAUCUUGUCAACCAGUUUCACAAAAGUCCAGAGGCCUGGCUGAAGGGUAUCCAUGGGUCAUACGCUGCUCAGUUAGCAAAUGAGGUGACAGGUGAGCACACCCGACGGAAAAACCUGCAACAGCAAAAGCAGUUACUUCGAGAGGCUGGGAAGCAACUACAUACGACGCCCACACUCUCCCUCUCCGGGUGCUAGCAACAUCCUCUCGCACUAAGGUAGGUGCGUUGUGGACCCAGGCUUACAUCUCCCCCUGAGGACGCCAGUCUCGGAACAGCCGGCCAAUAAGGGACUGGCAUUCCUCUGAGCAGCCAAUGAAGACAGAGUCAUCUCAGACCCAACCAAUGAAAGUGAUAGUUCCCUGAAUUGUCAACCAAUGGGAGACAGA